rnacentral:lncRNA from 1 species
UUCCUCAUUAAUGUGUUUUCAGAAAGGAAUUGCCCCGGCAUGCUUGUGGCAAUACUCGACGCCUUUGAAGAACUGGGACUUGAUGUGCUUGAUGCUAGGGUUUCUUGUGAAGACACUUUCCAGCUUGAAGCUGUAGGAGGAGAAGUAAGACAAUUAACACACUAUGAUAUAAACGAUGAUUUAAUUCCUUUUUUUUUUCUAUCUUAAUACAUAUUUGUUCUUCUUUGGAAUAAUUUAAAUCAUCUGAAACCUGGUUACAAUUAUUUCAAACACAUGAUUUGAGAAACUCAUCUACCUACUAAUUCUUCUUUGAAUUUUGUUCCUUUGUAAAUGAACCAUCAGUUUCCAAAUUCAUGGUUUGGUUAAUGGGAUUGCAAUAUUCACAUCAUCAGUGAAACUUAUAAAGUAGUAAAUUCAGAAAAAAGAUAAAAAAAUCACGCAUGAGUUGUACAACUUUGGUUUGAGCGACAUACCUAAAAUUCUAGCUUCAAAGUCCAAAGUACUGACAUAAUAAUGAGUGUGGCUCCCAUGUGUGGAUUCGUUUAACCCUGUUCUGCAGUUGCAUGGGCCGUGUAUAUCCGCCAAUAAAGCAAGAAUAACAAUACUAUUAUAGAUAAGUUUUUUGGAACAAAU